GCAAAAAAUUUGCAAUAUCCAAUACUUCUUUCUUCGUUUAUCUUACAUGAUCUUAUGUAUGUAUUGAUGAUUAUGUAUAGGUAUGGGACAACAUUAAUCAAAAUUCAAUUAGGGAGGUAUUUAACUCAGGAAAUGUUUAUAAAUGAUAGCAAAGGGAUUGCAUUGCACUAGGUGAUUAAUUUCGUGGGGAAGUGGGAGUUUGAGACAGACUUAUUUAAUUUAAUAAUGAAUGAAAGAUACUCAUAACAGUUGCCAUACUUCUGAAAAUCAGACAGGAAGUAAUACUCUUCAUUUUUUAUCAUAGGUGAGAGAUGAACUUGAG
rnacentral:misc_RNA from 1 species